GCCUACGGGGCGCAGCAGUGGGGAAUAUUGCACAAUGGGGGAAACCCUGAUGCAGCGACGCCGCGUGAGUGAAGAAGUAUUUCGGUAUGUAAAGCCCUAUCAGCAGGGAAGAAGAAAUGACGGUACCUGAGUAAGAAGCACCGGCUAAAUACGUGCCAGCAGCCGCGGUAAUACGUAUGGUGCAAGCGUUAUCCGGAUUUACUGGGUGUAAAGGGAGCGCAGGCGGCACGGCAAGCCUGAUGUGAAAGCCCGCGGCCCAACCGCGGGACUGCAUUGGGAAUUACCGGGCUGGAGUGCCGGAGAGG
rnacentral:rRNA from 1 species